UUUUUUUUUUUUUUAAUUAAAACAGAGCAGCAACUUCAGAACUGAAUGCCCAAACACUUGAGUUAUUCUCCUGGCAAAGACAUAAACCAGUCUUCCCCUUUAUUUCUGUAUAGUAGUGGUCAGAAAUUCCAUCUUAGCUGAGAUCUAAAUACAGAUCUGCCACACUACAAUCUACCUUUCUGGGUUAGCAUACCAUAACCCAUUCAUGAUUUAAGAUUUCAAUGCUUAAGGAAGCAAAGAAAAUUGUCUUAAAAAUUACUUUUUCACUUUAAAGCUUAUUUUGUAUAUCAUAUUUCAUUUCUCAGCUUCAAGGAAAAGAGGUUAGCCAAAAACCAGAAGGGAAAGACAGGACAGGUAGUAAGCAACAGAAUAUGGACAACUGAUACUCUCUGCUGUUAUGCCAAUGAGCCUUAUAGUGGUAUUUUAUGAUUCUUUCUCCAUUUCCGUCAAUACAGACAAGAGUAUUCACAGGCGGUUUCCAAAUGACACCUUAUGAUGUCAGUAUAUACAUACCUCACCAUUGUCUUAGACCUUAGCUAGAAAGAUUUUGCUAUCCAUCCUUAGGAUGAGAUAAAAACCUAAGACCUUCCUUUCUCCGAACAGGCAUUCCUGUUUUGGAAUGCAACAGUUUAACUGAAUAUAACCUACCUAUACUCUAACAAACACAGAACCAGACGUACAUUUGCUUAACAUGCAAUAAUUGCAGUAAAUUAGAGACUCUUAUUCAAGAGGAUCUCCUCAAUUAAGUGGCAGUAUGAGUUGGCCACUGGCAUAAAGUUCUCCAGUUUUGCCUACAUACAAUAAAGAUAGAUAAAACAUACGUUAAAAAGCAAAAUAAGCAUAUUACCAUUAAUUGCCCUCAGAUUUACCAGUGCAAUCACUGGAAGAAAAUUUAAUAUAUUCCUCAAAUGUUUAUGCAUACUUCUGUGUUUUGUAAAAAGUAGCCAAACGUAGUUGUUUCCUUCCAUGUUUCCUUUAUCUAUUUAUUUAAAGGCAAGUAUCUUUUCUGAAACCCAUUAGGCUGAUGAUGACACAGUAAAUAACAACUUCAGGGAAAUCUGAGAUGCAUCAAAGUGUUCAAUCUCUAUUGCUCAUUUAUUUCAAAACCACUUGCAAUACUACCACAGUGAGCAAAUACAAGUGAAAUUAAUUACUGAAAAAUGAAAGAGAAAGAAAAUUAGAAAAUAAAAGUGCUAAAUUCAAGAAAGUAAUUUAGGAACUUAAUACAUCCUUCUGCCCCAAUAGACUACAUAUUUAUGCACUUAACAAUGUUAAUUUUACCCUGAAGAAAUAACUUUAGAUUAAGAUAGUGAUUAAUACUGUCUUGCAGUUCUAAAACAUGCAUGGCCUUGAACAGAAUCUGCAAUACUGGCAGUGUAUGACCUAACUCACAGUCAAAAUUACUGUUCAUAAUGGGGAAAAACAAUCUCCAGCUAUUGAACUUUAUCUACCGUGAUUCCUCCUAAGACACUAACCUUACUCUUCCAGAAGCUCUGCUGAAAAGCAGAGGGAAAUCCUCAGGGCCAUUCUAGACUUCAUUUUCAGCAAAUACAUCUAAACAUCAAUAAAUUAACCUAGAACCACCAGCAUGCCCAGAUACUUAAAUUCUCAUUUAAAUGCCUUCAAAAUAAACUUACUAUUUAGUGAUACAAACAUUUGUUGUACUACCACGUACCUUAACGGGAACCUUAAGAGACUUGCCUGGUGUGUAAGUCACGUAGCAUGAUCCAUAUUUGUGAAGCAUGCUUCUGAGAAUUGGGGCUUUAUUUUGUGACCUCCCAUAGCAGGUCUCCUCAGGGAUUCACAACAUGUUUUAUUUUGCUUCCUGCAGCAACAGUAUUUCUUUCUUCAGCCAAGGAAGACUAGUGACAGAAAAGAUGCUACGAUGAAUCACGGAACUGCCUUUUAUCACAGUAAAAGGGCAUGCUUUGCCUUGAAGUGAAGCAGCAAAAAGAGU
rnacentral:lncRNA from 1 species